GAUGAACGCUGGCGGCGUGCCUAAUACAUGCAAGUCGAGCGAACGGACGAGAAGCUUGCUUCUCUGAUGUUAGCGGCGGACGGGUGAGUAACACGUGGAUAACCUACCUAUAAGACUGGGAUAACUUCGGGAAACCGUAGCUAAUACCGGAUAAUAUUUUGAACCGCAUGGUUCAAAAGUGAAAGACGGUCUUGCUGUCACUUAUAGAUGGAUCCGCGCUGCAUUAGCUAGUUGGUAAGGUAACGGCUUACCAAGGCAACGAUGCAUAGCCGACCUGAGAGGGUGAUCGGCCACACGGGAACGGAGACACGGUCCAAACUCCUACGGGAGGCAGCAGUAGGGAAUCUUCCGCAAUGGGCGAAAGCCUGACGGAGCAACGCCGCGUGAGUGAUGAAGGUCUUCGGAUCGUAAAACUCUGUUAUUAGGGAAGAACAUAUGUGUAAGUAACUGUGCACAUCUUGACGGUACCGAAGCAGAAAGCCCCGGCUAACUACGU
rnacentral:rRNA from 1 species